AGAGGGCAGCUACCCAGCAAUGGGAUGCGAAUCUCGAAAGCCUGUCUCAGUUCGGAUUGGAGGCUGAAACCCGCCUCCAUGAAGUUGGAUUCGCUAGUAAUCGCGCAUCAGCCAUGGCGCGGUGAAUACGUUCCCGGGCCUUGUACACACCGCCCGUCAAGCCAUGGGAGCCGGGGGUGCCUGAAGUUCGUGACCGCAAGGAGCGACCUAGGGCAAAACUGGUGACUGGGGCUAAGUCGUAACAAGGUACC
rnacentral:rRNA from 1 species